UACACUCCUGCGGGAGGCAGCAGUGGGGAAUUUUGGACAAUGGGCGAAAGCCUGAUCCAGCAAUGCCGCGUGAGUGAAGAAGGCCUUCGGGUUGUAAAGCUCUUUUGUCAGGGAAGAAACGGUGAAAGCUAAUAUCUUUUGCUAAUGACGGUACCUGAAGAAUAAGCACCGGCUAACUACGUGCCAGCAGCCGCGGUAAUACGUAGGGUGCAAGCGUUAAUCGGAAUUACUGGGCGUAAAGCGUGCGCAGGCGGUUUUGUAAGUCUGAUGUGAAAUCCCCGGGCUCAACCUGGGAAUUGCAUUGGAGACUGAAAGGCUAGAAUCUGGCAGAGGGGGGUAGAAUUCCACGUGUAGCAGUGAAAUGCGUAGAUAUGUGGAGGAACACCGAUGGCGAAGGCAGCCCCCUGGGUCAAGAUUGACGCUCAUGCACGAAAGCGUGGGGAGCAAACAGGAUUAGAAACCCUUGUAGUCCCAUGAU
rnacentral:rRNA from 1 species